GGCAAUGAUGAAAUCGGUCUUGUCCGAGGAGUGAUGAUAGUGGUCACCGCUGAGC
rnacentral:ncRNA from 14 species